rnacentral:rRNA from 1 species
UACGUAGGAGGCGAGCGUUGUCCGGAAUUACUGGGCGUAAAGCGUGCGCAGGCGGUUUUGUAAGCCAGGUGUGAAAUCCCCGGGCUCAACCUGGGAAUGGCAUUUGGGACUGCAAGGCUGGAGUGCGGCAGAGGAGACUGGAAUUCCUGGUGUAGCAGUGAAAUGCGUAGAUAUCAGGAGGAAUACCGAUGGCGAAGGCAGGUCUCUGGGCUGACACUGACGCUCAUGCACGAAAGCGUGGGGAGCGAACAGG